rnacentral:lncRNA from 1 species
AACAACCUCAUACAUGAGCAAAGGCAGGGUAAUUGUUACAUCACAGUCUUGCACAGCCCAGAGGCAAAGAGGAAAUCCUAGACACUUUCUGUUGAGGACAGGCUGCAAGGCAGUGCCCUCCACACAUAUAAGGGAGAGUUUUCAGAGCAGAACUUUGGGGCUGUCAUCCAAGGCACAGCUGAGUAGAACGAGCAGAAGAUGCCCCCAAGGCAGCAGGUCACAACAUUUGAAGGAAGUGCAGCAAGACACGUUACCAGAUCAAGACCGGUCCCAGGUAAGAGCAUUCAGAGGCUAAAAUUACCUAGCUGUACCAUGGCAAUUUUUUUUUUUGUCUAAGCUGUGGGGGGGGGGAGGAGGUUGGACAAUGUUCAGUUUCAGGAACAGCUUCGGAUGCUUAAAGGUAAAGGUAAAGGUUCCCCUUGACAAUUUUUGUCCAGUCGUGUUCGACUCUAGGGGGCGGUGCUCAUCCCCGUUUCCAAGCCAUAGAGCCAGCGUUUUGUCCGAAGACAAUCUUCCGUGGUCACAUGGCCAGUGCGACUUAGACACGGAACGCUGUUACCUUCCCACCGAGGUGGUCCCUAUUAAUCUACUUGCAUUUGCAUGCUUUCGAACCGCUAGGUUGGCGGGAGCUGGGACAAGCGACGGGCGCUCACUCCGUCGCGUGGAUUCGAUCUUACGACUGCUGGUCUUCUGA